rnacentral:rRNA from 1 species
AAUGAACGCUGGCGGCAGGCCUAACACAUGCAAGUCGAACGGGUCCUUCGGGACUAGUGGCGGACGGGUGAGUAACGCGUGGGAACAUACCCAAAGGUACGGAAUAGCCUCGGGAAACUGAGAGUAAUACCGUAUGUGCCCUUCGGGGGAAAGAUUUAUCGCCUUUGGAUUGGCCCGCGUUGGAUUAGGUAGUUGGUGGGGUAAUGGCCUACCAAGCCGACGAUCCAUAGCUGGUUUGAGAGGAUGAUCAGCCACACUGGGACUGAGACACGGCCCAGACUCCUACGGGAGGCAGCAGUGGGGAAUCUUAGACAAUGGGGGAAACCCUGAUCUAGCCAUGCCGCGUGAUCGAUGAAGGCCUUAGGGUUGUAAAGAUCUUUCAGAUGGGAAGAUAAUGACGGUACCAUCAGAAGAAGCCCCGGCUAACUCCGUG